GACAGCAAGACAAACAACUUUAUUUGUAUGAACCCCAAGACAGGAAGGAGGAGAACACUGGGUCCCACUCCAUGAGAACAUUUAUCCUUGUUUCAAUUUACAGUACAUUCUAGAAGGGCUUAAAAUACCGUAACAUAAAUAAAAAUGAAGGAUAACAACCUAAUAAUGAACCAGCCCAAGGCACCUGUUUAUUUUAACCACAAUUAGUCAUUUCCAUUUGAAUGGCAUGCUGCAUUAAUCAGGAUCUGAAAUCCCAGUUCACUGCCAUUACGCCAUUCUGUGAUGUCAAUACAUUCCAGUCCCUCCAAAAAAAAAAACCCAAACCAACAACCACCAGUGUGUUGCUAUCUCACACCAUCACUAGGCCAUUAGCUUGGGGUGGGAAGGAACAACAACAACAAAAAAAAACCCAACAGCAACUAACUUAGAAGCUACAGCUGUGAUGAGAGAAUUUGGGGUAGUUAGCAUGCUUCCUAAACGCAAGAGGACAGAGUACUUUUGCCCUGCUGUUCCAGAAACCACUCCCUUUCUCCCUCACAAAGCAUGCCUGUCCUUUGCCCCAUGAGGGCCACAGCUACUCCUAACUUCUUGCCAAUGAACUUUGGCUCUUCAAAUGGAAGAAGUGUCAUAGCAACACUGCUUUACUCAGUGAGUCUGUACAGUAAACAUACUUUGCAGAAAGGUGAUAGGACUUCCUUUUGCCCUUCAGAAUGCUGGGUAGGAGAGCUUAUCUCCUCUGACAGAUGUCAUCAUUAGCUAUAACUACUUAAGUAACUACUUAAUUUAAGCUAGAAAAGAGUGUGUUAGCAUGUGUCUAAGAUGAAUCUGAAAUCUAAUUCAGUAAAAUGCCUCCCUCCUAGCAUCUGCUAUUGUUCCUAGUUGUAUUUGGCCCAAUGCUGCUUGCCCUACACUUGCAGCGAGAUUUUCUCAUGAUUUAUAAUGUCUAACGCUGUAUAUCACCUGCUGAGAUUUAAAAAAACCUAACAUUUAUUUCUCUAAGGAGUCUACUUGGGGAACACUUGCUUCACUUGUUUUAAGAAGAAUUAGCAGGUGAGACAUCAGAGGUUCAGGUGCUAUCUCAUUGUAUAAAAUGCUAUGGUAAAUGUAUAACACCAGCUACAGUUUGCAUUUCUACAAACUGCAGAAAGGCUCCAAGGUGCUGAAGUCUCUUAUGGUAGAGGGAGCAACUAAGUAGCUGUAAUGAUAGUUCAUGAAAGAACAGUUAGUUUAAAGCUGACGCUACUACUGGC
rnacentral:lncRNA from 7 species